CGUGUAGGCGGCCAUCCAAGUCCGAUGUGAAAGCUCGGGGCUCAACCCCGAGUCUGCAUUGGAAACUGAAUGGCUUGAGUCCGGAAGAGGAGACUGGAAUUCCUGGUGUAGCGGUGAAAUGCGCAGAUAUCAGGAAGAACACCGGUGGCGAAGGCGGGUCUCUGGGACGGUACUGACGCUGAGACGCGAAAGCGUGGGAGCAAACA
rnacentral:rRNA from 1 species